UUCGUUUCCUUAUUCUUCGUGGAGCUAGAGUGGAGUUUGAAUGGACUUUUCUACGAACGUACAAUGAAAUAAAUCGUGCGAGGAAAAUCGGAUUUCUGCGGAUUUUGAAUCGAGAAUUGUUGCAAAUAGUUUAUGAAUUAUGUAUCUUCUUUUGAAUCAUUGUUAUCGAGAGUGAUUCAGUGGAAAUCGCAUCCUGUACCACCCGGGCAUCCAUCGGGAUUAAGAUCAACGACACCUGACCCGUCGUCGAACACCGGAAGAGGAAGUCCAUCGACCCAUCGGCCACGAAAAAGAGGACCCCUUGUCAUUCACUCGUGAAACACGUGUGCGCGAGCCAUUAAAGCGUAAAACACGUGCGAGGAUCUCUAGUAAAUCUGAGAAUUUUGUAGAUCUUCCAAGGAUAACCGAAAUAUCUCUCUCUCGGGUUUUAAGGAUUGAAUUAAAAAAGGAAAGAAAAAAAAAGAAAGCAAUCAAUUUCUAGAUAUUCCUUCUCAUUAUCUCAAACGCUGUAUUUCGUUGUAUCUUCACGACACGUCAAUCUAUACAUACGACGAAACAUAUCUACACUCGUCGAACAAGACGUACACGGAAAUUUCUUCCACGGUUUUUAAUUGAAUCGUAUCUCGAAACGUUCCUGGAAAUACCAAUAUUUAUGCAGCGACGUACGCCCACCGCGUAGAAGAAGAAAAAAAAAACGAAUAACAGAAAAGGCAGGUAUAUACGUUACGAUCAACAAUAUCAAAUAUGUAAAUCCAUCGAGGAUCCUCCUCGAGAGAACACGAUCCCCACUUUCAUUCGAAAAGUGCUCGACGCCCGGCGUUCGUGAAUCGUUCCGUAGCCGUAGCCGUGUAGGUGAAUCAGAGGCGCGUAGGUAAAGAUCGCGCGCGAUGAAAUUCGUAGAAUAGAACGGAUGUUGGGCAAUCCGGAAUGGUUGGCAGGUGCCGCUGGGUGGUGGGCGUCGUUUUACGCCAAAUUCGAUACGAAACCAGAAUUCCCGUUUCCUUUCUCACGAAACGAAUUCCUCUACCUCUUCCUCGCGUUUCUCCAUUUUUUCCCUUUUUUCUUUCUUUCUUUCUUUUUUUUUUUUUUUGAACCUUUCUAUCGUCUUUGCAUCCCUCAGGUAAAAUUCUUCUAUUCCUUCCAUCGAGAAAUUUUUCUUCGCCUAAAAUCUUUCUUUACUUUGUCGUUAUUAUUAUUAGAUGCAUCUUCGAUAUUCUUGUAAAUGAUCAUUCAUAUUUCACUGUACACUUCGCUCUGUUUAAUAGUUUCUUCGUUUCAGAUUUCUUGCAUCAAACGAAUCAUUCAGAUUCUCUUCACCCACGCGACUUUGCUCGAGCAUCGGUCGCGAACAUUUAAAAUUCUACAAAUUAUAUUCGAUAUAUAUUUUUAUCUUUCACAUAUUAAUAACGAAACGUCCACCGUUGAAAUUUCCGAAUACAAACGAACCGAUUCACAUUUAGAUUUUCUAUCGGGAGUCGUAUCGUGUGAACAAGUGAAAAAAAAAAAAAAAGAAGAAAGAAAAAGAAAGAGAAAAAAAGGAAAAAGAAAUAGGUUGGUCGCAUGGGGACGUCGCAGGUCCGAAGAUCACGAACCGGCGCAUAUGGAGAGGCCGUGAAGCGGAUGAGGGGUCAGAGUACUUCCUACACGCUGUGCCUAUGGGGUACACCCAUACGUGUACGCGAUUACGUGGGCAACGACGUGUGGGACAUCAUAGAACGGCCACGAGGCAACGCACCACCUGUUGAAUCUCUCGAGAGGGUCACAGAGGGAAUACGCGGUUGACUGCGAGACAGUUACUAUAUCGUUUCACCGGAACGAGGAGUGAUUCAUCGCGGAGGGAAGGUUGGCCAGGAAAUGUGGAGUGUUUGCGGAGGAUUAUAUCGACCUACGCCGAACUUACUAUUAAUUUGCUGCGUGGACAAUGGUGCUAAUGCCACAACGAAGUGCGCGCCAGAGAACGGGUACGUAGAGGAGUAUGUAGAUUCAGGACAAUGCGGUCCUAUUAACGAGAUCAAACGAUACAAGGAGACGACCGCCGUGGUCCGGUACUGUGCUCCCGCCAACCAGGGAUGCAGACAUUCUUACACUGUUCUUUCUUCGCGCUACUUUGUCGAAUAAUAGGCCGAGCACUGCCAAAACCUUGAAUUCUCCUGAAUCAAUUAUCCGUAAUACAAAAAAGAAAAAUCAUUCUCCUUUUAUCCACAAUAAGCUAAGAACAAACGUAUAUAAUUCAAUUUUAAUUAAAUUAGCUGCAGAAUUAUUUGUGAUUCCAUUUUUCCACCACAACUCUCGAGAAAUUGCAAAGGAUUGAGAUUAAAACUUGCACCAAACAUUUGCAUACAUCCGUAAACAACGGAUCACCAAGAUGUCAACCACAAUUUCAUUAGAAACGUCGCUCCUCCAUUCUAUCGAUCUUGCGUUCUAUCGUAUCGAAAGAAGAGUGGAGAGUAAAAUGGGCAUGGAGGAGAAAGAAAAAGUUUGUCUCAUCCGGUAUAAGCAGAUGCGCGCAUGGGCGAAGAUGCAUCGGAAACGUUAUGUUAAUAUUAAGGGGAACUGCGUGCAGGACCGUAGGUGCUUUCCAGGAAUCUCUCGCUAGUCCUGCGGCCCUGACGAUGAUAAGGCCCGCAGCACGACGGUGGCGGCGUUACAGGGCACCGAGGAUUUACAGAGGCGACAGACCGAUAUACCACAUCCCUAUCCCCCCCUCCCUUCACGGACGUUUCUCGUCCUCUUUACCUCGCUUCGCUCUACUUUGCCUCGCCUCCGACUUUUUUACACGAGGGACCGAGAUCCCUCGCUUCUGUUACGGUGGCCUUACGUACCUUACACCAGUAUGUAAAUGCACUUCGGUAAACCGGCUAUUCAUCCUCGCGCCGAUAUAUAAUUUAUCCGCAUAAUUCGUAUUUUACCACUUCGAAACGUUGCCAUCGUCGAAUAUACUUCUCCCUUCCAGACUGUUCUCCCCUCUCGUCACUUUUUUCGCUCUCCUCCCUCACGAAUAAAUUAUCGUAAUUGGUAAAUCUUUGAUUCGUUUUUAUUUAUUAUUCCAUCGUCCUUCUAAUAUAUCUUUCGUUCUUCCAGAUGUUGAAUUUCUAAUUUGUCAUGAAUCGAGAAAGAAGAAAUUGUUAUUGGAAAGAUAUUGGAAUAUUAUAAUUGAUUUUGAGAGAAUGAAAUUCUCUGAAAUAUUUCAAUCGUCGCGUUCGAAGAAUCAACAGGUAUACACACACGUAUGCACGCACACACGUAUAUAGAAAAAUCCAUCGAAUGGUUGGAAGGAGAUCUCUCUGGUAAGCACGUAAAUACGCGGCUUCGUGUAUCAAGAGCACGACGAGGGUGGAACAGCGGGCACCGUUGAAUCGUAUGCAAAAGAAGAGCGAUGCGCGAGUAAAAGAGAAAAAAGAGAGAAAGAGAGAGAGAGAGAGAGAGCAAAGAGAAAGAACAAACGACAGUCAGGCAGCCGAGGGCACAAGAGACGAGGGACACGAGCGAACCAGAUUGCUUUAAUUUGUUGCGCGUCCAGCAAAAAUGUUAAUGCCCGUCGGCCGCUCGUAAUUCAGCCAUGCCGCGGCCGCCUCUCUCUUUCUUUCCCCCUUAUCCACGCUCGCUUUUCCAUCUUCCUUCGUUCCCGCUCCCCUGUUUAGCCUCUUUCACGCGUUACACACAGUGGCCCUUAUCUGCGGUUUUAUGUUCGGCUUUGCGUUUCAGCGACGCCGAUCCUUCGCGCCCAGAAUUCGAACCAACGACCAUCCAAUGUCCUCCUCUUUUCGAUCGGACGGGGUUGUACGGAUCGGAUACGGCUCGUGUUC
rnacentral:lncRNA from 1 species